GUCGAGAAUCUUUCACAAUGGGGGCAACCCUGAUGGAGCGACGCCGCGUGGAGGAUAAGGUCUUCGGAUUGUAAACUCCUGUCAUGCGUGAACAAGGUUGCUUGGAUAAUACCUGAGCAAAUUGAUGGUAGCGCAAGAGGAAGAGACGGCUAACUCUGUGCCAGCAGCCGCGGUAAUACAGAGGUCUCAAGCGUUGUUCGGAAUCACUGGGCGUAAAGGGUGCGUAGGUGGCGUGGCAAGUCAGAUGUGAAAGCCCGGGGCGCAACCUCGGAACUGCAUCCGAUACUGCCAUGCUAGAGUACUGGAGGGGUGACUAGAAUUCUCGGUGUAGCAGUGAAAUGCGUAGAGAUCGAGAGGAAUACCAAAGGCGUAGGAAGGUCACUGGACAGUUACUGACACUGAGGCACGAAGGCCAGGGGAGCGAACGGGAUUAGAAACCCUUGUAGUCC
rnacentral:rRNA from 1 species